rnacentral:rRNA from 1 species
GACGAACCGUCCAAACGUUAUUCGGAAUCACUGGGCUUAAAGGGUGCGUAGGCUGUCCGGUAAGUUGGGUGUGAAAGCCCUCGGCUCAACCGAGGAAUUGCGCCCAAAACUGCCGGGCUCGAGGGAGAUAGAGGUGAGCGGAACUAAGGGUGGAGCGGUGAAAUGCAUUGAUAUCCUUAGGAACACCAGUAGCGAAAGCGGCUCACUGGGUCUCUUCUGACGAUGAGGCACGAAAGCUAGGGGAGCGAACGGG